rnacentral:rRNA from 1 species
AUUGAACGCUGGCGGCAUGCCUUACACAUGCAAGUCGAACGGCAGCGGGGGAGAAGCUUGCUUUUCCUGCCGGCGAGUGGCGAACGGGUGAGUAAUACAUCGGAACGUGCCCUGUAGUGGGGGAUAACUAGUCGAAAGAUUAGCUAAUACCGCAUACGACCUGAGGGUGAAAGUGGGGGACCGCAAGGCCUCAGGCCAUAGGAGCGGCCGAUGUCUGAUUAGCUAGUUGGUGGGGUAAAGGCCUACCAAGGCGACGAUCAGUAGCUGGUCUGAGAGGACGAUCAGCCACACUGGGACUGAGACACGGCCCAGACUCCUACGGGAGGCAGCAGUGGGGAAUUUUGGACAAUGGGCGAAAGCCUGAUCCAGCAAUGCCGCGUGUGUGAAGAAGGCCUUCGGGUUGUAAAGCACUUUUGUCCGGAAAGAAAUGGCUCUGGUUAAUACCUGGGGUCGAUGACGGUACCGGAAGAAUAAGGACCGGCUAACUACGUGCCAGCCGCCGCAGUAA